rnacentral:sRNA from 1 species
ACAGCGCCUAGAGCAUGUCUCCCAAAAGUGGGAACCGGUUUUGGGAUAAAAACAUGCGUAAAAAUAAAAGCUUAAAGCGUGUUGCCUGAAUACGAUUGAACGCAACACGCUUUAAAAGAAGCUUAAAUCGGCGAAAUUCAUCAUUCAGGGCAUCGCUUUUGACC